CUGUGUUUGACUAAGAGCUUCACAACAGUUCCUUACCCUCCUGUCAUUAUCUCUAAAUGACUUUAGUCUAUCCUUUGUUUUAGAUUGUCCUUUGUUUUCCUCUUUACUGGAUGUUGCUGAGAAACCAUGUGUAGAUGUGCUGGGAUCUUCACAACAGGCUAGAUGCUUGCCUGCUGUCUCAUCGCCAAACUGGAUGUGGUCCCACCUCAACAGCGUGAGCACUGGGAAAGCAAACAAUCAGGAAGAACUUCUGUUCUCCCAAUCAUGGGCAGAGAGUUUUGAGACUGACAAGACCAAAUGGAAAAAGGACAUUUUAGAACUGGCGAGCUGGUAAUCAUGAGCAUAGUAUUUUGGAAGGAUUCCAGAGAUGACCUGUGACAGAAAAGUUUAUGCAGUAGACUAAAAUCCAAGAAUAUAUAAGGUCUGCAAAAUUAUUUUAAUUUAUGAUAAACAUUUUAAGUAAAACUGGGUUAUGCAUCCUGCUUUUACAAUGCAGAGUAGCUAUGAGGACCUAUUGCAUCUUAGAAGAUGAAACCUACAACUUUUUGUAUUCUUUGUUCACCCUGAAACAGAUAAAUUAACAUAUAAGAUAACAUAUAUAUCCAUUUGAGACAUAUUCACGUGUAACCCUUUUUUUUUUUUUCUUUUUUCCUGUAAUCUGAAUGGAGCUGCUAUGAAAAUGAUUGUCUUCAUAAACAGCAGCACAGACAUAUGGUGAAAUGGUGUUCCUGACCAACAGCACUGGUGAGGUUGGCACAAUUGGAAGAAAUAGUGCUUGCUAAUGGACUAAUUCUGCAGAGGCAGCAAAGAGUACAAAGCACUUCUUGUUUCUGUGAGCUCAACAAAAUAGAGCAAGAAAGCCUUACUUGGUUUAAAUAACACUGCAGUGGGUUAAUUAAAAAUGGAUAAGCAACGUCCAGCCAAUUCCUUCUACCUUAUUCUCCUCUCAGUUCAAAAUAAUGUUGUAAAAAAAUCAAUGUAUUAAUAUAAACAUGUUGAUUAAAUGCCUUUAUACUGCUGCUGGAAGCUAACUAAUAUGAUGGAGUUAAGAAAAAUGAGCAGUUAAUGAAGGAGAAGAAUUUCAUCAGUGAUGAUCUCUUCUCAGAGUCCUUUCUGUUUACAGAGAAGAUACUUUUAUACUGUGAGUUUUGAAGAAAGUGAAAAGCAAAGGGAGACUUCAAGUGCCUCCAGUUUUGGUACUUGAAUCUCAGGUUUGGGUAAUAAGAAGAAUGAAAUAUCAGAAAGCUGUGACCAUAUAUACAUGGUUGCAUGAAUACAAAGUCCAAGAAGGAAUGUCCUUCUUCUCCCCUCUGGAAUAAUUGCUAGGUUUUAAAUAUCUGAUGGACUCUAAUUGUGCCCUGUGGAAUAUCUAUUCAAAGUUACUGGAGGAUGAGCCUCUGGAGGAGUCGACAACAGAUUAUCACCUCUUUAGGAAAAACAUAUCUCUGAUAUACCACAAUGAUUGAUAAAGUUUCAUCUUGAGAUGCUUAAGGAUCAAUGUAAUUGAUUUUUAUUGACAGUGAAUAUAUCCAUGAAAAAGGACUACUAGGACAAAACACAUGCAUUACUUACACUUGUAUAAUGAUGUUCUUGACAGUAGGAGAACAGCUUAAUAGAGAAGCAGUUUUCUUGUAACCUGAAAAUCAGAUAGCCUGAUUGCUUGGCAAGAGUAUUUGGUAUCUCAGCAGCCCUACUGCAACUUUUCUCUGUAAGUUUUCUUUAGCCUCCAAAAAAAAAAUAAUUUUUUUUUCCUUUUUUUUUUUUUUUUUUUUUUUUUUACAGGCUGUUAUUCACAAAGAACGGUAAAAAAAAACAAAACAAAAAAAAGAAAAGAAAAAAAAAGUAUGCUUUUAAUAUGGCAGACUGAACCUGUAUGGUUUAUGGUAAUCUGGAGUGUUCACUCCACGUGUAAAAAGUGCAAGCUAAAUAUUAUCUGACUUUUUGCAGUGCAUUUAAUUCAGUACUAGAAAGGCAGCAGCUGGCAGACUGAUUCUCUCCUACCAUAUUAUGAUUAUAUUCCUCAAACCAAAAUCAAGCUUCCACUUCUAAAAAGACUCUUCUCACAGCAGAUAAUGCCAAUAAAAGUACUGAGAAGUGAUGGGAAUAGCA
rnacentral:lncRNA from 1 species